UCCUCUCCAUCGAGCAUACAUAGGAUGUGCCAGUUUAUCCGGAAUAUUGAUCUCCGACUCAAUGCUCCUACAAUCAAAAAUAUUUAAGAUUAGAGUUUUAGGGUUUUAGGUCUUACUAGGAUGAUCCAUGCAUGUCUCCUAAAAUCAUUGUCUUAAUCUUUGGGGUUCAUCAUAAUCUUAGACAUAAUAAGAUGCAGCUAAUAUGAUGAAUCAAUACCUCAAAUAAUAAAUAUCAUUACAUGAGUUGGAAAAUCACAAAGAAAAAUCUCAUCGCAACACUUGCGAUUGGCUUGUAAGGCACUUUUCUUUCAACAAGGAGUCCCCAGACUUUGAAAACGAGGUUGCAGAAGGUGUGGGAGAGGCGUACUAGGUCGGCUUUGAUGAUUGUAGGGCCCGGAUCGUCUCGUUGUUCUCCGAUUUGGACCCGAGCAAGCUCGGGGAGGAAGUCGGAGGAGAUCAUGAAGCCAUCGAAGCCGACGAGGAGCAGAUCGAGGCCGAACCUACCGUGGAGAUCGAGCCCAAGCCCACUGCUAAGGUUGAGCCUGAACUUGUCAUCAAUGCCAGGCCUAAUGCCAAGGCCAUGCCUGCUGCUAGUGCUGAACUCACCACCGAGGUUGAACCCGUCAAAGGUGCCAAAACUCACCAAGGGCACAGAGCUCACGACUCCAGCCAAUAUCAAGGUUGCCGGCACCUCCUUAGAGGCUUGACCCUUUUCCUUGUAGUUUUCUUUUUAUUUCCCUCGAUGUCUUUGGAAAUGGAAAAACUUGUAAUGACAUUUUUAUCUCAAUGAAAAGUUUACCUUUUGGUUAAGACGUUGUCUUACUUCUCGUUGUUGCUCAUUUCUUGUUUCCUACAGCUGACUUUCCAUCUUUUAUGCGGGUGUCCGGUUGACUAUGAUCACUUCCAGGCUUCCAUGGAAGAGAGUUCGGGAAGCCGAUUCCUGAGUGAAGGCUGCCGAGGAGGUGGUGGCCGAAGAGGUGAAGAGGGCAAGAAGUAAAGGAGGCCAUCAAGAAGGUAUCCCAGCUACAGGCUGGGAUCUUAGCCAUCGACGAGCAUGCAAUCUCCCUCUGGUAUCUGGUCGAGAUGGAAAGGCCAUUAGCUCAUGAACUAAGGAGGGACUUUGACAACAUAGUCGAGUUAUACAGGUUGGUGAUGGACGAGCUCACUUAGAUCUGCGGGGACAUGCUGAAAGUGGAGAGAUCAGCAAUAAAGGAGUUCCAAAAGAAGGUGAGACUUGCUGAAGGAUGUGUCAUCGUCGAGAAGACCAAAGUCUUGGUUGAGGCCGUAGAAGCUACCUGGCUGGCUUACGACUUCGGCUUUGAUGAGUGCAAAGCUUUAGUCUGGCAACUCAACUCCAAUAUCGAUCUCCUAGUUCCUUGGAUG
rnacentral:lncRNA from 1 species